UCUCCUGCUUAAGUCCUUCCCACAGAGAGCGGUUUGAUAUGUCACUGAAACCAGCAUCCAGGUGGUAUUGCUCCAUAUGCCUGAGACCCUAACAAAAGCCUAAUUACAACUCAUAUGCCUGGAGCCAGGACAUGUGCAAGAUGGUGAUGUAACUUUCCUCUCUGGAAUGGGUCCUGCACAAAGGAAUGAUAGUAACAUAUUGCAAAGCCAGACACACAGCCAUGAUGGUCCAAGUUAUAUUGGGAUUCAGCCAAUAGAAGAUAUUUUGCCUGUCAUCCCUAAGCUUAGGGCAAUAGGGUCCUGCCCACAAGAAAGAUUGUGACAUCUCACUGGACAAGCACCCACCCAGACUCUGCCAAGAGAGGGGAUUAUUACAUAUUGCAGAGCCCAGCACCUAGGUGGAGUGACUCUCAUCUUUUUCUUCUACCCCGUAUAUAGCCAGCUUGGUGACCUACUAUUUGAGGCUAUACCCAGGCCCAGACCACAGAUGAAAUUGUGCAAUAUGUGGAACAAACACCUAAACAAUAUAUAACACCUUCCUUGGCUCUGUCUACAAAGGGCAGUUUUAUAUAUCACUGGGACCAUCAACCAGGUGAUGUUAAUUAUCUUCCUGAAACCUGUCUACAAAGAGAGUAGUGUCUUAUACCUAGGCCCAUCAUGUAAGUGAUGUCAGUCCCUUCUACUGCCUUGGCCCUGCACUUACAGUGCAUUGUGACACAUAACAAGGUACUGCACACAGACGAUGUGAUUCUCCUUUUUGGGUUCUGCCAAAAGGAAGCAUUGUAAUAAAUCGCUUGGCUCAGUACCAAGGUGAUGUUUCUUUGCUUUUGCCUGGGCCCUGAUAACAGGGAGAUUGUGAUCUAUUGCUGGGCCCAACAAAAAUGUGAGGUCACUCUCCAGCUGUGGUACUUCACAUAAGCGCCAUUGUGACAUGUAUCUAGGCCAAUUGCCUAGGUGAAGUGAGUUUCCUCUCUUGCCAAAGUCCUGCCCACAGAGGGGGUUUUGAUAUGUCACUGAAAUCAGCAUUCAGGUGAUGUGACUCUUCUGCCAGGGUCCUGCCUACUAGGUGGAGGAUUGUGACAUCUCACUGGACCUGCAACCAUGUAGGUCAUGUGACUUUCAUGCCUUCUCACUGGCCACAGGUGAUGUUGUGCCAUAUAACUGAGACUGUAACAAAAGCCUAAUAACAAGACGUAUGUCUGGAGCCCCGAUAUGCACAGGAUGGUGAUAUAACCCUCUUCUCUGGAAUGGGCCCCACGCAAAGGAAGGAUAGUGACAUAUUGCAAGCCCAGGCACACAGGCCCAGAGCACAGUUGAAAUUGUGACAUAUGUACACCAAGCAACCAAGCAAUGUAUAACACCUCAUUUGGCAAUGGAAUCGAGGGCACUUUUACAUAUCACUGAGACCAGCGCCCAGCUGAUGUGAAAUAUUGGCCUGAACCCUGCCUACAAAAGCAUUGUGGCUUUUAUCUAGCUCCAUUACAUAAGUGAUGUGACUUCC
rnacentral:lncRNA from 1 species